CGAGCAAAUAAUACGAUGCGGGAGGUCUGCAGACUGUCACCGAUACGGUGUCAUCACCAACCCGGAUAAAACAAUCCAUUUCAGUACCAGCUGCUGUUACAGCGAUUUGUGCAUCGUCAAGCUGCCUACACUUCCCACCAACAGCCCCGUUAAAAAUGGACUUUGGUGCAAAAGCUGUUUCUCCCCAACUUCCGAUCAGUGCCUGGUGCAAGACACCAUGGAGUGUACGGGUAAUGAAACGAGCUGCGUCCGCUAUACGGCGGUAGAAGUGACCCAAGG